CUUCGGGGCGCACCGGCGCGAAAACUCUACCAUGCAGGCAACUGCGAUAGGGGGACAUCGAGUGGCAUCCACCUUGGGUGCCUGUCCAACCGUCUAAAAAACGGUUGUUAGCAAGGGCCGGGUAAGACCGGUGCCAGCCGCCGCGGUAAUACCGGCGGCUCGAGUGGUGGCCGAUAUUAUUGAGUCUAAAGGGUCCGUAGCCGGCUUUGCAAGUCCCCUGGGAAAUCCAGCGGCUUAACCGUUGGGCUUUCAUGGGAUACUACAUUGCUUGGGACUGGGAGAGGUAGGAGGUACUCGAGGGGUAGGGGUGAAAUCCUGUAAUCCUUCGGGGACCACCGGUGGCGAAGGCGUCCUACCAGAACAGGUCCGACGGUGAGGGACGAAAGCUAGGGGCACGAACCGGAUUAGAUACCCGGGUAGUCCUAGCCGUAAACGAUGCCCGCUAGGUGUCACGACGGUCGUGAAUCGUCGUGGUGCCGUAGGGAAGCCGCGAAGCGGGCCACUUGGGAAGUACGACCGCAAGGUUGAAACUUAAAGGAAUUGGCGGGGGAGCAC
rnacentral:rRNA from 1 species